CGUCAGAACAUGGGUGUGCCUAGGUUUGCCUGAGUCGCCUACUUUACGCAUUAACCUCAACGGGACUGAGGAACUCUAGGCCUGGUUACCUUCCAGCGUAGGUUGCAGACUACUGCGGGGCUGUUGUUUCAGCAGCGGACCAGAGGAGGCGGCGAGGGCGGUGAGAGGACGAGGAUGAGGAGCGGCCGCGGCGGCUGCGGCACGGUGGCGAUCAGCCUCAAAGAGGGGUCCUGCUCCGCAUGAAGCGCGGCGUCCACUAACGGACGUCCCUGCCGAGCCCGAGGAAGGGGUCCUCGGCCGAGUUGCUACCUAUGACGCUAACGUGGCUACCUUGGCUGCUCGGUCCGUGAAGCCGAACGGGUCUUCCGUUUAAAAUAACAUGUUUGUAACCUCUAGAAGGAGCAUAGAACAAGAGAAGCAAACACUUACUAUUGUAAACGCUAACGACACUACCUUCACUACUCAUACUUUCACCGUAGGUAACAGGCUUGUGUACAUUUUUCUCUGUACUACGACGGCUCUGUCUGUUACCACAAUCACUCGACAGUCAGCGUGUAAAUCCACCUUGUCUGUAUUAAAGAUCAUUUGUAUGUGAACUGUAUCUUCUAGAAUAGGUCUUCGAUUCUCCUAAUUCUUACCGACGUCAAUAACUUGACCCAGAACAACAUACAUAAAAACAAAAGAUGAAACGAGCUGCCUCGUGAGCCCGUGCCUCCUCUGUUAUAUAAAACUUUGCAAUCUUUUCAAAAUUCGAAGAUCCCGACUAGCUCUUAACCUCUACCCUUCCAGUCCGUAGGUGUUCCAAAGAUGCUCAUUGAUCGGAUGUGUAGACGACAAUUUUUCUUUGAUCCGGUCCUGUCAGCACUAAAUAGGUACGUUAUAAAAGACAGGCUGGAAGGACGGCCAUUGCGGUCAAGUCACGAACACACAUAUAAUUGAAUGAUAACACAAGCACACAACAACCGCUACCGUAGGUAUCCCACCGACACCACGACAAGCGCCAUUCUCGUACCAAUUGUUAUGUUGGUUGUUAGCCAAUAUUCCUCAACGGUACAUGUAGUCAUUUAAAAUUUAUACAUGAUGAAAUAAUUAUUAUCAACCGGAUGAAAUGUUGGAGUGUUUAACAGGACUCCGAGCAUGACGUCGACUGAUGAUUACUUGUCAAACGAAGAAAAGAGAGAGGAGAAAAGUGAUGAGGUUGAUUCGUUUCUAUCUUAUAAAAUCAGGAAUAUCGGACAAAUACAGUAGAAUAAUAUGAACGAGAUUCAAAAGAUCCGACAUAGAGACAGAACCACAUCGUCAACGUCGGCUGUGUUCCUCGGUCAGUCGGUCACCGCGAAACCGGUCGGGGCAUCUAACAGCAGACCGCCUAACGCUGACAAUAGGAUCCCGUCUCCCUUCCGAUACUUCAAGGCAGGCACGAACAAUACGCUUGACUUCAAAACUGACGGCGAAGAGAAUGGAACUAGCGACGGACAAAACAGAAACCCCUAGCUACGUAGUAACAAACAAGAGCAUCCACGUAGUUAGAAACUAGUGUACUACGAACGGAACUACAUUACAGAUGCCACCACAUUCUUUGAGACCGACUACCAUUACGCAUUGGACAAAUAAUAUAGUAGUGAGAUUGGUGCCAUGCAUACUGUUAUAAAGUAGGCUGUGACUUGGUAGCGGGAACUAGUUUGUCAUAGGUUGAAGUGUGAGAACGUAGCCAUUGAAGUGGAAAACUUGGAAUUUGGGAAAGAUCUUUGCUUUAGUG
rnacentral:rRNA from 1 species